GUGGUAAUGCCGGAUGCUCCAUCACACCGCAUGGUGUGUUGGGAAAGCCUUUGCGGCAUGGGAUGGGGUCGCGUCCUAUCAGCUUGAUGGCGGGGUAACGGCCCACCAUGGCUUCGACGGGUAGCCGGCCUGAGAGGGCGACCGGCCACAUUGGGACUGAGAUACGGCCCAGACUCCUACGGGAGGCAGCAGUGGGGAAUAUUGCACAAUGGGCGCAAGCCUGAUGCAGCGACGCCGCGUGAGGGAUGGAGGCCUUCGGGUUGUAAACCUCUUUUGUUAGGGAGCAAGGCACUUUGUGUUGAGUGUACCUUUCGAAUAAGCACCGGCUAACUACGUGCCAGCAGCCGCGGUAAUACGUAGGGUGCAAGCGUUAUCCGGAAUUAUUGGGCGUAAAGGGCUCGUAGGCGGUUCGUCGCGUCCGGUGUGAAAGUCCAUCGCUUAACGGUGGAUCCGCGCCGGGUACGGGCGGGCUUGAGUGCGGUAGGGGAGACUGGAAUUCCCGGUGUAACGGUGGAAUGUGUAGAUAUCGGAAAAGAACACCA
rnacentral:rRNA from 1 species